rnacentral:rRNA from 1 species
GAUGAACGCUAGCUACAGGCUUAACACAUGCAAGUCGCGGGGCAGCAUGGGGGUUGCUUGCAAUCCCCGAUGGCGACCGGCGCACGGGUGAGUAACGCGUAUCCAACCUGCCCUUCACCACGGGAUAACCCGGCGAAAGUCGGACUAAUACCGUAUGUUGUCCAUUGACGGCAUCCGAUUUGGACGAAAGGUUUGGCGGUGAAGGAUGGGGAUGCGUCCGAUUGGCUGGACGGCGGGGUGACGGCCCACCGUGGCGACGAUCGGUAGGGGUUCUGAGAGGAAGGUCCCCCACACUGGAACUGAGACACGGUCCAGACUCCUACGGGAGGCAGCAGUGAGGAAUAUUGGUCAAUGGGCGUAAGCCUGAACCAGCCAAGUAGCGUGCAGGAGGACGGCCCUAUGGGUUGUAAACUGCUUUUAUGCGGGGAUAAAGUGGCCCACGUGUGGGUUUUUGCAGGUACCGCAUGAAUAAGAACCGGCUAAUUCCGUG